CUACGUGCCAGCAGCCGCGGUAAUACGGAAGGUCCUGGUGUUAUCCGGAUUUAUUGGGUUUAAAGGGAGCGUAGGCCGCAGAUUAAGUGUGUUGUGAAAUUCAGGCGCCCAACGUCUGGCUUGCAGCGCAAACUGGUUUCCUUGAGUACGCACAACGUUGGCGGAAUUCGUCGUGUAGCGGUGAAAUGCUUAGAUAUGACGAAGAACUCCGAUUGCGAAGGCAGCUGACGGGAGCGCAACUGACGCUGAAGCUCGAAGGUGCGGGUAUCGAACAGGAUUAGAUACCCUGGUAGUCCGCACAGUAAACGAUGGAUGCCCGCUGUUGGUACUUGGUAUCAGCGGCUAAGCGAAAGCAUUAAGCAUCCCACCUGGGGAGUACGCCGGCAACGGUGAAACUCAAAGGAAUUGACGGGGGCCCGCACAAGCGGAGGAACAUGUGGUUUAAUUCGAUGAUACGCGAGGAACCUUACCCGGGCUUGAAUUGCAGAGGAAGGAUUUAGAGAUA
rnacentral:rRNA from 1 species